CCACGCGAGCCUUUUCCCUUCGCCUCGCGAGUUGUUUGGUGCAACUCGCCAUGGCGAGCAAACCUUCCUCGCCUCGCGAGCUUAGGCAGAGUGCAUGUCAUAUUUUGUAGUUUCGACUUUUUAGUUGGACCUUGAGUGCCUUUAAGUGCCUAAACAUACCUAGAGAUGAUUAGGAAUGAUUUUAGGACAGGAUUGAACCCAAAACAACAUUAGUUGGGAAUCUGAGUGGUACUCGCCAUGGCGAGUAAGAACUCUCGCCUCGCGAGCAAGUCCAGAAUGUAGCUUUUUGAGUGGUUGUGCGAUCUGUGUCGCACCUUUUGAUCAAGAGUGAACCCGUAAUUGGUAAUGAGACCUUAUGAUAACGUUUAAUGCAGUCUGUAAAAGCUAUUAAGAUAUGUUGAUAUUAAUUGAGCAUGAUUAAUGUAUUAUGCAAUAUGUGAGAUAUAAUGAAACGAUUAUGAUUCUAUUGAAUUGCUGUUGAUAUAUUGAUAUCUCCCUGCUGAUAUGUGAC
rnacentral:lncRNA from 1 species